UGCUGCAUGGCUGUCGUCAGCUCGUGUUGUGAAAUGUUGGGUUAAGUCCCGCAACGAGCGCAACCCUUAUCCUUUGUUGCCAGCGAUUAGGUCGGGAACUCAAAGGAGACUGCCAGUGAUAAACUGGAGGAAGGUGGGGAUGACGUCAAGUCAUCAUGGCCCUUACGACCAGGGCUACACACGUGCUACAAUGGCGCAUACAAAGAGAAGCGACCUCGCGAGAGCAAGCGGACCUCAUAAAGUGCGUCGUAGUCCGGAUUGGAGUCUGCAACUCGACUCCAUGAAGUCGGAAUCGCUAGUAAUCGUGGAUCAGAAUGCCACGGUGAAUACGUUCCCGGGCCUUGUACACACCGCCCGUCACACCAUGGGAGUGGGUUGCAAAAGAAGUAGGUAGCUUAACCUUCGGGAGGGCGCUUACCACUUUGUGAUUCAUGACUGGGGUGAAGUCGUAACAAGGUAACCGUAGGGGAACCUGCGGUUGGAUCACCUCCUUACCUUAAAGAAGC
rnacentral:rRNA from 1 species